rfam:Bacillus glycinifermentans strain GO-13 contig_28, whole genome shotgun sequence.
AGAUAGGGAACGACGGUUAAGUGCCCGGACGUCCUGUCCGAACACCGUCGUCAUCACGUCCUGUGAA